GGCCCAAUGGUCUAGUAGCAUGAUACACGCUUCGGGCUUUCGAGUCCCUCUGAGCAGUCAGAGGAAUAUGUGUGUGGUCCCGGGUUCAAUUCCCGGUUGGGCCC